rnacentral:rRNA from 1 species
GGACGAAGUACUGACGCAGCGACGACCGCGUGGAGGAUGAAGUUUCGGUAUCGUAAACUCCUGUCAAGAGGGAAGAAACCUAUCAUGAAUAAUACUUAUGGUAAUUGACGGUACCUCUAGAGGAAGCACCGGCUAAAUUCAGUGCCAGCAGCCGCGGUAAUACUGAAGGUGCAAGCGUUAAUCGGAAUCACUGGGCGUAAAGCGCUCGUAGGUGGCUUUGUAAGUCAGGUGUGAAAGCCCACGGCUCAACCGUGGAAUUGCACUUGAUACUGCAUCGCUAGAGUAUAGGAGAGGGAAGUGGAAUUUCUGGUGUAGGAGUGAAAUCCGUAGAGAUCAGAAGGAACACCCGUGGCGAAGGCGACUUCCUGGACUAUUACUGACACUGAGGAGCGAAAGCGUGGGGAGCAAACAGGAUUAGAUACCCUGGUAG